rnacentral:lncRNA from 10 species
CAGUGGUGUUGUCCAUUCAGGACAGCCUCCCAGGACAGAGGGCAGGAUGCAGAAGAGUGGAGAGUUUGGGGAAGAGCAAACCCUGAAUAGAAGGUAACUGGGAAGAUACAAAAACAAGCUGAAGUUAAUAAAUGUCUUAUGGCUCUCAUAUCCUAAUCUCCUCUGAUUUUAUUCUUGAUAAAGAAUGAAAUCUUUCUUUCUUUCUUUCACUUAAACUUACAAAUUUUUUUCUGCCUCAGGGAUUUUCACCUUUUGAUUUCUUUAUCUGGAUGACUCUUCCCCUAAGUCAAGGGUUGGCAAACUUUGGCCCAUGAACCGUAUAUGCCCAACUGGCUGUUUUUGUAAAUAAAGCUU